rnacentral:rRNA from 1 species
AUUGAACGCUGGCGGCAGGCCUAACACAUGCAAGUCGAGCGCGAAAGUCUUCGGAUGAGUAAAAGCGGCGAACGGGUGAGUAAUGCAUGGGAAUCUGCCUGGUAGUGGGGGACAACGUCUCGAAAGGGACGCUAAUACCGCAUACGCCCUACGGGGGAAAGGGGGGGAGUCUUCGGACCUCUCGCUAUCAGAUGAGCCCAUGUCAGAUUAGCUAGUUGGUGAGGUAAAGGCUCACCAAGGCGACGAUCUGUAACUUGUCUGAGAGGAUGAUCAGUCACACUGGAACUGAGACACGGUCCAGACUCCUACGGGAGGCAGCAGUGGGGAAUAUUGGACAAUGGGGGCAACCCUGAUCCAGCCAUGCCGCGUGUGUGAAGAAGGCCCUAGGGUUGUAAAGCACUUUUGUCAGGAACGAAACGGUCUGGGCCAAUAUCCUGGGCUAAUGACGGUACCUGAAGAAUAAGCACCGGCUAACUACGUAGCCAGCAGCCG